CCUACGGGAGGCUGCAGUGAGGAAUAUUGGUCAAUGGACGAGAGUCUGAACCAGCCAAGUAGCGUGAAGGAUGACUGCCCUAUGGGUUGUAAACUUCUUUUAUAUGGGAAUAAAAUGUUCCACGUGUGGGAUUUUGUAUGUACCAUAUGAAUAAGGAUCGGCUAACUCCGCGCCAGCAGCCGCGGUAAUACGGAGGAUCCGAGCGUUAUCCGGAUUUAUUGGGUUUAAAGGGAGCGUAGGUGGAUUGUUAAGUCAGUUGUGAAAGUUUGCGGCUCAACCGUAAAAUUGCAGUUGAAACUGGCAGUCUUGAGUACAGUAGAGGUGGGCGGAAUUCGUGGUGUAGCGGUGAAAUGCUUAGAUAUCACGAAGAACUCCGAUUGCGAAGGCAGUUCACUGGACUGCAACUGACACUGAGGCUCGAAAGUGUGGGUAUCAAACAGGAUUAGAUACCCGAGUAGUC
rnacentral:rRNA from 1 species